GCCGUCGAGCCUGCCGCCCAGGCCCCCGAGCAGCCGUAGGGCCUCCUGCACGGCCCCCUCCUCCUGAUGCCACCGGGCGGUCAGGGAGGACACCUCCCUCCUGUAGGCGUAGAGCUGGUGAUGGAAUCUUUGGCGUGGACCAAUCCACUGUUAACCCAACUCUGGGGAAGAACGGGAGACAGGGGACACAGGUUCGAGCCCUGGUCUGGGAAGAUCCCAC